rnacentral:rRNA from 1 species
AGUGAACGCUGGCGGUAGGCCUAACACAUGCAAGUCGAACGGCAGCACAGUAGGAGCUUGCUCUUACGGGUGGCGAGUGGCGGACGGGUGAGGAAUACAUCGGAAUCUACUUUUUCGUGGGGGAUAACGUAGGGAAACUUACGCUAAUACCGCAUACGACCUACGGGUGAAAGCAGGGGAUCUUCGGGCCUUGCGCGAUUGAAUGAGCCGAUGUCGGAUUAGCUAGUUGGCGGGGUAAAGGCCCACCAAGGCGACGAUCCGUAGCUGGUCUGUGAGGAUGAUCAGCCACACUGGAACUGAGACACGGUCCAGACUCCUACGGGAGGCAGCAGUGGGGAAUAUUGGACAAUGGGCGGAAGCCUGAUCCAGCCAUACCGCGUGGGUGAAGAAGGCCUUCGGGUUGUAAAGCCCUUUUGUUGGGAAAGAAAAGCAGCAGGUUAAUACCCCGCUGUUCUGACGGUACCCAAAGAAUAAGCACCGGCUAACUUCGUG